rnacentral:rRNA from 1 species
CUGAUUAUAUUAAAGAGCCGCAGUAUUCUGACUGUGCGAAGGUAGCAUAAUAAAUUGUCUUUUAAAUGGAGGCUUGAAUGAAAGGUUGGACAAAGUAUCAUCUGUUUCUUAAAUAUUUAUUGAAUUUGACUUUCAAGUGAAAAGGCUUGAAUAAAUUAAAAAGACGAUAAGACCCUAUAAAUCUUUACAAUAAACAUGUUCUAUAUUUUAAUUUAUAAGUGUAUAAAAUAUUAAAUUUGUAUUUGUUUCGCUGGGGCGGCGUGGAUAUAUUAAUAAACUGUCUAUGUGUUAAAUCCAAUAAUUAUUGAUUAGUGAGAUUGAUCCUUAAAUAGAUUAAAAGAUUAAGAUACUUUAGGGAUAACAGCGUUAUUUUUUUUGAGAGUUCUUAUCGAAGAAAAAGUUUGCGACCUCGAUGUUGAAUUAAAGUAUCUUUAUGGUGCAGCCGCUAUAAGAGAGAGUCUGUUCGACUUUUAAUACUUUACAUGAUCUGA